CUGCGUUUUGGCCCUGCGAUACGUUGGCGACCUGUCCAGGGUGAACACCACCCCCCACACACACAACCAUUAAGUGAUGAUAAUGGAUGGAUGAACUAAGCAGAGGCAGGAAGGGUGUGUGCGGCAGGCUGAACAAUGAACCUAAGCUGCUUUGACAAUGACACUCCCCCCCGACGGGAUCCGGCUACAGUUACGAGCCGACUGAAACACAUACAAGCGUCUACUCUGGACACAGCUGUGACCUCCGCACCAAGGCUUCCUCCGAUGAAAGCAUCGUCCCUGCCCUCCUCGUCUGUGCGCCUCCUCCCUCCGACCCCUUCCUUUCCCGUGAACAGAAAGCUGCCAUCAAGUGCAUCACACAGGUCUUUCCCUACAUAUCCUCCAGCCUCGUCACCAUGGUACCUGCAGCCUGCUCACUCUUCCUACAGCGAUGAUGUGUACAACAGCUGCUGACAGACGGACAAAACAUUCGCCGUUAUCAGCAGUUGACUGACCUUAUCCUUCAGAUAAAACCCUCGAUUAUGUCGAA